rnacentral:rRNA from 1 species
UACGUAGGUGGCGAGCGUUAUCCGGAAUUACUGGGCGUAAAGAGCGUGUAGGCGGCCAGGUAGGUCUGGUGUGAAAACUCGAGGCUCAACCUCGAGACGUCGAUGGAAACCGUAUGGCUAGAGUCCGGAAGAGGAGAGUGGAAUUCCUGGUGUAGCGGUGAAAUGCGCAGAUAUCAGGAAGAACACCCGUGGCGAAGGCGGCUCUCUGGGACGGUACUGACGCUGAGACGCGAAAGCGUGGGGAGCGAACAGG